UGUACAUAGUUAAUGUUGAACUUGUAUAAACUGUUUGAAAUAUAUUUUAUUAUGCUUCUGACAGCUCCAAAACACUCUUGGCAUGAGUGAUGAGGAGGAGGUGGCAUACACUGAUCGCAUUGCAUUAACAAGAAAGGACUUCAUCACACUUGCUAAUCCUGUAGAAGUUGCCGAAAACGUAAGGACAUCAUGACAUACUAACAGUUUGACAGAUUAGUACAGUGUUUUGUGGUAUAGUGUCCCUUUUUUCCCCAUAGGUGCUGAAUUUGUGUUUCCAGCUUCUACAAAAAAUGGCUAGUCAACAGGUAGCAAAGAUCUUUUAACAGUUUUGGAACACUCAAGUCAGCAUAUUUUGCUCACAUCCACACUGAUACCUAAAAUACUUUUUAGAACAUUGACAUCUUUGCUGCUGAUUGCCAUGUGACACUCACCUGGUUGCCCCCAUAUUCAGCAGACCCCAUGGAUCACCUCCCUGGCAUUCCCAAGCAGAGAGGCUCUACUAGUUGUGGGGUGUUCAUCCUAAUGGUACGAAAUAUUGCCAUCCUUUGUUCCUUGCAUAAUUUCUUCCUGUAAUCUUGUGGUUUGUUCAUGGAUAUUCAAUUUGUUUGUUUACAGUAUGCUGUCUACAUCGUGUUUGGCCUCUGUUUUGACUUCACAGAGGUGUGUUUUUCAAUCGCUUUUUAACAUUUCAUCUUAUAAGGUCUAUGUUUCAAUUCAAAUGUGUGCUUUUCCACAAACUUCCACAGACAUGAACAUUGCAAGGCGAUGGUGGUCACUUCUAUUGUUGGACAACUUUCCACCAAGGUAACUCCUAUUAACUAGGGUUUUUCCAACUGUUUCUAACUCCUAUGAAAAACGUGGACAUUUGAACCCUUCUAUAUGUUGCCAUCCAUAAGAUUUACUUAUGUCAAACCUUUGCAUCUGACAGAAAACAGAAAAGGGAGCCACAGAUAACCAACACACCAGGACAGUGUGUGGAGUGGACAAGGCACAAUAUGAGGCGGUUCCAGGACGUGUCUCCUUUCCCAAAAUUAUGUAUAUGACAGAAGUGGAAAAACAGGAUGCACUGCACAAGCUGAGAACCACCGAUGACCUGGAGGCUAAAUGAUGGAGAUAAUUUCCAAACACUGUUAAUGACUUAAGAAUAUAAUAAUCAAGUGCUUUGUAUUAAUAUAUUCCUUGUAUGAAUCAUGUGCUUAUGA